AAUUUACCAGGGGUUUUCAAACUGGGGUGUACUGCAAACGGUGCUAGGGUGGAAUUGUUUAAAAUGUAAAAAAAUAAAAAAUAAAAUAAUAAUAAUAAAAAUGACAUAACAAUAAUAAUAAUCAAUAAAAAGGUAACAGUAAAAAUUAUUCAUUUAUAAAAAAAUGUUAAAUAGAUAAUACAAUAAAACAAUAGUAAACAGAUAAGUGUAAGGUUUUAUAUAAAUAAAUAAUUUUUUUCUUGGUAAUAUUUUACACAUAUCUUAUAGAGCUGUCUUUAUAUUUAAGGAAGGGUCCUUCGCAAGGGGAUCAUUAUAUUUGGGCCAUGAAAAAGUUGAAAAACCCAGAUUAUGUCUCUAAAAUAAUACCAAUAGCAUUACUGCAAAGGAUUAGAUAUAUUUAAUUGGCUUUUAUAACAUUAGAAAGGCCAUGCAUGAAAAGGCAAAUGAUUUACACAUCAGUGAUGGGAGUGGCUCUACUCUGCUCUACACAAUCUACACUCACUGCUUUCCAUAUGUGAGUGUGCAAGUGUAGGAUAGAGAGAGAAAGCCCGUGUGUGUGUACUGUAUGAGAGCAGGAAUGCGUAUAUCAAGGAGCAUGCGCAAUUCUCUAUGACGGCAUAUGAUAGAGACAGAGAGAGAGAGAACGAGAGAGAGAAAGAGAGCAAGAUAGGGAACGCACCGUUCUGUUGCACCACUCCUAGAGAGCCUGGAGAUGCUCUCACAUUGUUUGUCUCCUGUUCUAACUCAGAGCUUCUGCAGGGAUACACAUGCAUGCAUGAGCACAGAGCCACACACAAACACACACCACAGACGUGUCGUCACUGCCACUCCUGGCAGCCGGUGAUAUAUGGGAGUGGGAGCUCUAAGGAGGAGAAAGAGAGGUUGAAACGGCUACCGUUAAGGAGUCAGAGGUCAAUGACUGCAGGAAAAGGUGUCAGAUCCUUGAGAGAGAAGUGA
ensembl:lncRNA